GACAGAGGUCUCAAGCGUUAGGCGGAAUCACUGGGCUUAAAGCGUGUGUAGGCGGAUGCCUAAGUACCUUGUGAAAUCCCACGGCUUAACCGUGGAACUGCUUGGUAUACUGGGUGUCUUGAGCCAGCUAGGGGCGACCGGAACAAACGGUGGAGCGGUGAAAUGCGUAGAUAUCGUUUGGAACGCCAAUGGUGAAAACGAGGUCGCUGGGG
rnacentral:rRNA from 1 species